rnacentral:rRNA from 1 species
GGCGGCGUGCCUAAUACAUGCAAGUCGAGCGCGAGAUUGAGGAGCUUGCUCCUCAUGAUCGAGCGGCGGACGGGUGAGUAACACGUAGGCAACCUACCCUUGAGAUUGGGAUAACUACCGGAAACGGUAGCUAAUACCGGAUACGACUUUCCUGCAUAAGCAGUUAAGUUUAAAGGCGGAUUUAUCUGCCGCUCAUGGAUGGGCCUGCGGUGCAUUAGCUAGUUGGUGAGAUAGUGGCUCACCAAGGCGACGAUGCAUAGCCGACCUGAGAGGGUGAUCGGCCACACUGGGACUGAGACACGGCCCAGACUCCUACGGGAGGCAGCAGUAGGGAAUCUUCCGCAAUGGACGCAAGUCUGACGGAGCAACGCCGCGUGAGUGAUGAAGGGUUUCGGCUCGUAAAACUCUGUUGUUAAGGAGGAACACUUGAGGUAGUAACUGGCCUUGAGAUGACGGUACUUAACCAGAAAGCCACGGCUAACUACGUG